GGGCCUGUAGUCUAGCCUGGACACGCGGCAAAUCUGCGAUUUGCGGGUUUGCAGGCGCUGCAAAGGACGGCGGGCUUCGGACCCGCAAACCCCGGUUCGAAUCCGGGCAGGCUCA
rnacentral:tRNA from 1 species